AGUGAACGCUGGCGGUAGGCCUAACACAUGCAAGUCGAACGGCAGCACAGUAAGAGCUUGCUCUUCGGGUGGCGAGUGGCGGACGGGUGAGGAAUACAUCGGAAUCUACUUUUUCGUGGGGGAUAACGUAGGGAAACUUACGCUAAUACCGCAUACGACCUACGGGUGAAAGCAGGGGAUCUUCGGACCUUGCGCGAUUGAAUGAGCCGAUGUCGGAUUAGCUAGUUGGCGGGGUAAAGGCCCACCAAGGCGACGAUCCGUAGCUGGUCUGAGAGGAUGAUCAGCCACACUGGAACUGAGACACGGUCCAGACUCCUACGGGAGGCAGCAGUGGGGAAUAUUGGACAAUGGGCGCAAGCCUGAUCCAGCCAUACCGCGUGGGUGAAGAAGGCCUUCGGGUUGUAAAGCCCUUUUGUUGGGAAAGAAAAGCAGCAGGUUAAUACCCCGCUGCUCUGACGGUACCCAAAGAAUAAGCACCGGCUAACUUCGUG
rnacentral:rRNA from 1 species